UACGGAGGAUUCAAGCGUUAUCCGGAUUUAUUGGGUUUAAAGGGUGCGCAGGCGGUCUGUUAAGUCAGCGGUCAAAGCCCGGGGCUCAACCCCGGCCCGCCGUUGAAACUGGCAGUCUCGAGUUGGAGAGAAGUAUGCGGAAUGCGCGGUGUAGCGGUGAAAUGCAUAGAUAUCGCGCAGAACUCCGAAUGCGAAGGUAGCAUGCCGGCUCCACACUGACGCUGAGGCACGAAGGCCAGGGGAGCGAAAGGG
rnacentral:rRNA from 1 species